UUGAAUUUGCAACGGGGGCGCUCGGUCGGGCCCGCACCGGUGGCGACGCCGUGCUGCGGCCUGCCUGGCGCCCUCUUCCAAACCCAAACCCCUGUGAACCUUUGGGAGGGUGCGACGCGUUGCGAAGCGCCCUCUCGUUUCUGUAACCAACUCUGAUGUCUAUUUGAAUGUCAUUCGGGGCAGCCCCGAUUUAAACUGAAA
rnacentral:misc_RNA from 1 species